UCGGCUGAUUGGUGAUAUGCCUAAUUCA
rnacentral:piRNA from 1 species